rnacentral:rRNA from 1 species
GGGGGGUAGAAUUUCAGGUGUAGCGGUGAAAUGCGUAGAGAUCUGAAGGAAUACCAGUGGCGAAGGCGGGCCCCCUGGACAGAUACUGACACUCAGAUGCGAAAGCGUGGGGAGCAAACAGGAUUAGAUACCCUGGUAGUCCACGCCGUAAACGAUGUCUACUUGGAGGUUGUGGCCUUGAGCCGUGGCUUUCGGAGCUAACGCGUUAAGUAGACCGCCUGGGGAGUACGGUCGCAAGAUUAAAACUCAAAUGAAUUGACGGGGGCCCGCGCAAGCGGUGGAGCAUGUGGUUUAAUUCGAUGCAACGCGAAGAACCUUACCUACUCUUGACAUCCAGAGAACUUUCCAGAGAUGGAUUGGUGCCUUCGGGAACUCUGAGACAGGUGCUGCAUGGCUGUCGUCAGCUCGUGUUGUGAAAUGUUGGGUUAAGUCCCGCAACGAGCGCAACCCUUAUCCUUGUUUGCCAGCGAGUAAUGUCGGGAACUCCAGGGAGACUGCCGGUGAUAAACCGGAGGAAGGUGGGACGACGUCAAGUCAUCAUGGCCCUUACGAGUAGGGCUACACACGUGCUACAAUGGCGCAUACAGAGGGCGGCCAACUUGCGAAAGUGAGCGAAUCCCAAAAAGUGCGUCGUAGUCCGGAUUGGAGUCUGCAACUCGACUCCAUGAAGUCGGAAUCGCUAGUAAUCGUGGAUCAGAAUGCCACGGUGAAUACGUUCCCGGGCCUUGUACACACCGCCCGUCACACCAUGGGAGUGGGCUGCAAAAGAAGUAGGUAGUUUAACCUUCGGGGGGACGCUUACCACUUUGUGGUUCAUGACUGGGGUGAAGUCGUAACAAGGUACCCG